rnacentral:rRNA from 1 species
UACGUAGGGUGCAAGCGUUGUCCGGAAUAUUGGGCGUAAAGAGCUCGUAGGCGGUCUGUCGCGUCGGAUGUGAAAAUCCAGGGCUCAACCCUGGACCUGCAUUCGAUACGGGCAGACUAGAGUUCGGUAGGGGAGACUGGAAUUCCUGGUGUAGAGGUGAAAUUCGUAGAUAUCAAGCGGAACACCGGUGGCGAAGGCGGCCUUCUGGACAGUGACUGACGCUGAGACGCGAAAGCGUGGGGAGCAAACAGG